rnacentral:rRNA from 1 species
UGAGGAAUAUUGGUCAAUGGACGAGAGUCUGAACCAGCCAAGUAGCGUGCAGGAAGACGGCCCUAUGGGUUGUAAACUGCUUUUAUAAGGGAAUAAAGUGAGUCUCGUGAGACUUUUUGCAUGUACCUUAUGAAUAAGGACCGGCUAAUUCCGUGCCAGCAGCCGCGGUAAUACGGAAGGUCCGGGCGUUAUCCGGAUUUAUUGGGUUUAAAGGGAGCGUAGGCCGGAGAUUAAGCGUGUUGUGAAAUGUAGAUGCUCAACAUCUGAACUGCAGCGCGAACUGGUUUCCUUGAGUACGCACAAAGUGGGCGGAAUUCGUGGUGUAGCGGUGAAAUGCUUAGAUAUCACGAAGAACUCCGAUUGCGAAGGCAGCUCACUGGAGCGCAACUGACGCUGAAGCUCGAAAGUGCGGGUAUCGAACAGGAUUAGAUACCCUGGUAGUCCGCACGGUAAACGAUGGAUGCCCGCUGUUGGUCUGAAUAGGUCAGCGGCCAAGCGAAAGCAUUAAGCAUCCCACCUGGGGAGUACGCCGGCAACGGUGAAACUCAAAGGAAUUGACGGGGGCCCGCACAAGCGGAGGAACAUGUGGUUUAAUUCGAUGAUACGCGAGGAACCUUACCCGGGCUUGAAUUGCAGAGGAAGGAUUUGGAGACAAUGACGCCCUUCGGGGUCUCUGUGAAGGUGCUGCAUGGUUGUCGUCAGCUCGUGCCGUGAGGUGUCGGCUUAAGUGCCAUAACGAGCGCAACCCCUCUCCUUAGUUGCCAUCAGGUUAAGCUGGGCACUCUGGGGACACUGCCACCGUAAGGUGUGAGGAAGGUGGGGAUGACGUCAAAUCAGCACGGCCCUUACGUCCGGGGCUACACACGUGUUACAAUGGCAGGUACAGAGAGACGGUCCCUUGCAAAAUGGAUCAAAUCCUUAAAGCCUGUCUCAGUUCGGACUGGGGUCUGCAACCCGACCCCACGAAGCUGGAUUCGCUAGUAAUCGCGCAUCAGCCAUGGCGCGGUGAAUACGUUCCC